rnacentral:rRNA from 1 species
AUUGAACGCUGGCGGCAGGCCUAACACAUGCAAGUCGAGCGGACGAAGGGAGCUUGCUCCUGGAUUCGGCGGCGGACGGGUGAGUAAUGCCUAGGAAUCUGCCUGGUAGUGGGGGAUAACGUCCGGAAACGGGCGCUAAUACCGCAUACGUCCUGAGGGAGAAAGUGGGGGAUCUUCGGACCUCACGCUAUCAGAUGAGCCUAGGUCGGAUUAGCUAGUUGGUGGGGUAAAGGCCUACCAAGGCGACGAUCCGUAACUGGUCUGAGAGGAUGAUCAGUCACACUGGAACUGAGACACGGUCCAGACUCCUACGGGAGGCAGCAGUGGGGAAUAUUGGACAAAGGGCGAAAGCCUGAUCCAGCCAUGCCGCGUGUGUGAAGAAGGUCUUCGGAUUGUAAAGCACUUUAAGUUGGGAGGAAGGGCAGUAAGUUAAUACCUUGCUGUUUUGACGUUACCAACAGAAUAAGCACCGGCUAACUUCGUG